UACGAAGGGGGCUAGCGUUGCUCGGAAUCACUGGGCGUAAAGCGCACGUAGGCGGCUACUUAAGUCAGGGGUGAAAUCCUGGAGCUCAACUCCAGAACUGCCUUUGAUACUGAGAAGCUUGAGUCCGGGAGAGGUGAGUGGAACUGCGAGUGUAGAGGUGAAAUUCGUAGAUAUUCGCAAGAACACCAGUGGCGAAGGCGGCUCACUGGCCCGGUACUGACGCUGAGGUGCGAAAGCGUGGGGAGCAAACAGG
rnacentral:rRNA from 1 species